GCUAGCUAGUCUGGUUCACCACUGGAACGGUGGCUAAUACCGGAUGUGCCGGAAGGUGAAAGGCUUGCUGCCUGAAGAUGAGCUCGCGUCUGAUUAGCUAGUUGGUGGUGUAAGGGACUACCAAGGCGACGAUCAGUAGCUGGUCUGAGAGGAUGACCAGCCACACUGGGACUGAGACACGGCCCAGACUCCUACGGGAGGCAGCAGUGGGGAAUUUUCCGCAAUGGGCGAAAGCCUGACGGAGCAAUACCGCGUGAGGGAGGAAGGCUCUUGGGUUGUAAACCUCUUUUCUCAGGGAAGAACACAAUGACGGUACCUGAGGAAUCAGCAUCGGCUAACUCCGUGCCAGCAGCCGCGGUAAUACGGAGGAUGCAAGCGUUAUCCGGAAUGAUUGGGCGUAAAGCGUCCGCAGGUGGCUGUGUAAGUCUGCUGUCAAAGAGCGAAGCUCAACUUCGUAAAGGCAGUGGAAACUACACGGCUAGAGUGCGUUCGGGGCAGAGGGAAUUCCUGGUGUAGCGGUGAAAUGCGUAGAGAUCAGGAAGAACACCGGUGGCGAAGGCGCUCUGCUAGGCCGCAACUGACACUGAGGGACGAAAGCUAGGGGAGCGAAUGGGAUUAGAUCC
rnacentral:rRNA from 1 species